GACGAACGCUGGCGGCGUGCUUAACACAUGCAAGUCGAGCGGUAAGGCCUCUUCGGGGGUACACGAGCGGCGAACGGGUGGGUAACACGUGGGUGACCUGCCCUCAGCUCUGGGAUAAGCCUGUGAAACUGGGUCUAAUACCGGACAUGACCACAUGUUGCAUGGUGGGUGGUGGAAAGUUUUUUCGGCUGGGGAUGGGCCCGCGGCCUAUCAGCUUGUUGGUGGGGUGGUGGCUUACCAAGGCGGCGACGGGUAGCCGGCCUGAGAGGGCGACCGGCCACACUGGGACUGAGACACGGCCCAGACUCCUACGGGAGGCAGCAGUGGGGAAUAUUGCGCAAUGGGCGGAAGCCUGACGCAGCGACGCCGCGUGGGGGAUGACGGCCUUCGGGUUGUAAACCUCUUUCGCCCGGGACGAAGCGUAAGUGACGGUACCGGUAGAAGAAGCACCGGCUAACUACGUG
rnacentral:rRNA from 1 species